UCCCAAUGUUCAUCCGGGGAAUAAAUGCCU
rnacentral:piRNA from 1 species